rnacentral:rRNA from 1 species
AGGGAUCAUUACUGAGUUACCGCUCAUCAACCCUUUGUGAACAUACCUUAACUGUUGCUUCGGCGGGUAGGCGUCCCCUAAAAAGGACGUCUCCCGGCCCUCUCCCGUCCGCGGGUGGGGCGCCCGCCGGAGGAUAACCAAACUCUGAUUUAACGACGUUUCUUCUGAGUGACACAAGCAAAUAAUCAAAACUUUUAACAACGGAUCUCUUGGUUCUGGCAUCGAUGAAGAACGCAGCGAAAUGCGAUAAGUAAUGUGAAUUGCAGAAUUCAGUGAAUCAUCGAAUCUUUGAACGCACAUUGCGCCCGCCAGCAUUCUGGCGGGCAUGCCUGUUCGAGCGUCAUUUCAACCCUCAAGCUCUGCUUGGUGUUGGGGCUCUACGGUUGACGUAGGCCCUUAAAGGUAGUGGCGGACCCUCUCGGAGCCUCCUUUGCGUAGUAACAUUUCGUCUCGCAUUGGGAUUCGGAGGGACUCUAGCCGUAAAACCCCCAAUUUUACUAAGGUGUGACCUCGGAUCAGGUAGGAAUACCCGCUGAACUUAA